AGCGAACGCUAGCGGCGGGCCUAACACAUGCAAGUCGAGCGGGGGCCUUCGGGCCUUUAGCGGCGGACGGGUGAGUAACACGUAGGUAAUGUGUCCUCUGGUGGGGAAUAACCGUGGGAAACCAUGGCUAAUACCGCAUAUUGUGCUUCGGCAUGAAAGCCUCCGGGCGCCAGUUGAGCAGCCUGCGUCCCAUUAUUUAGUCCUAGUUGGUGGGGUAAUGGCCUACCAAGGGUACGAUGGGUAGCUGGUCUGAGAGGAUGAUCAGCCACACUGGAACUGAGACACGGUCCAGACUCCUACGGGUGGCUG
rnacentral:rRNA from 1 species